GCCUCAGACUAUUGAGAGGCUGUGUUAGGAGGUUUGUGUAAAUUGCUGGGAUUACAUUUCCAGAUAAGUUUUCUGUCCCUAUGCUGUUGCAGCACAGGUCACACUGGGUUGUACUUAACUGGCCCUAUUACGGGAAAGGGAGGAUUUAUGAAAUACCUUUUCUUUUGCAUUGCAUAUAAAACUAUAACAUUUAAAACUGCUUUAUAGGGAAACUGCUUGGGCGCUUCCAGCUCAUGGUGUCAUCUCCUGCUCAGACCAGGUUCCCCUUCGUGGCUGCCACCAGCCUGAAUCAUGAUAGCUCUUUCAGAAAUCUCCAGCUGGGAUUUGUCCCCGAAGCCUGGUGGGAAGUGCAGAACAGCACAGCACCUCUGGCUGGACUUCCAAGACAGACCCACCUCUCCAGAGAUGCCCAGUUGACGUCUCCCUGAUGGACUCUAUAUGGCUCCUCACGCCCAUUUAAAAACCUUUCAUGCAGGGUGUGAAGGUUUGAGAAGACUGGCCAGCAAUCACAGAGGUGUUCCUCAGAACAAGGGUGAUGAUGCAAACAGGAUGUGGGAGGAUUUGUGGAUAUUUAUGAGCAGGUGCUCUUCAGCUGGAGUCCAUUUUGAAGUAAUUGACACCUGGGGAUUGCUGGGCACCAGAGAUGCUUCUGCAAAGCGG